GCCCAGUAGGUGGCGGCAUAUACUUCAAAUAUUUUUUUGCGGACCGCCAUGAUACCAUAGAAGCAGCAGCAACAGCAGCGUUGUGUCCGGCCGUAACUAGCGAAUCUUGCUGCAAAAACAACAAUUUCUCAAUCUCAUCCCUUUCUUCCCUAACAUGUAUAAACUACAGCUGCUUAAUCUGUUUCUCAACGAAAAAUUAAUCGCAGUUCCUUUGGAGAUAUCCGUGGCAGUUAAAAAAACGAUAGCAGAGCACCAGGAAGAAAUCUGCCGUUUGAGACGGGCGAAUGAACGUUUACGAAGAAUCCUGGAUUUGGUUUUCAAACCAGUGAUAAAGUUGCAUAGAUUAGCAGGGUUGCCAGGUGUAGCUACAUUUUCGAGACAAAUGACGACUCAAAACCUGCCCAAAAGGCCUGAACCUAGGCAAAUUUGAUUUCACACCCUAAUUAAACUCGCCAAAGAAUGUUCCAUCAAUGUAUGUCGUUCUAACUCGUAUGACUGCUAUGAGUAUGGUAUAUGGCCAGUAUACCAUGGCAAAGAGCUGUUAUUUCAUGACGCAACAAGGAGUCCUCGGAUACCUCCAUUGGCCAUAUACCAACAAUUCCAAAGGUGCCUUAUUGCUAUUAUAUAAACUGGUUACCAAAGUAAUUAGAAUCGUAAAAUUUUUUUGGGGUCAUACCUGUGGUAUAUGGUCUGAUUUACUUUGGCUUUCAGCCAAGCAGCUUUCAGGCUGAACCAGGUUUAUAAUUGUAAAUACAUCCCCCUUUGCGCAUGUGCAUAACUAUAGAUAAAUCUGACAGGAGAGUUUGAGAGAUGAAAGUUGGAUAGAGGAUCUCAGUCUCUGAGCAAGAAACACUUGGAUGAACAUAAACUAAUGUUAGGCUAUUUUCCUGCAAUUGUGCUCUUAUUAUGUGCCAGAUGUUGAGACUAAAAACCAUUAUAAAUGGUAUCCUAUAGCCCCUGAUAGGCCUACAUCUAAUUUUAGAUGAUCUACAGUAGCCUAGACAAGAUGUAGGCCUGAUGUAAAUUGAAUGAUCUAGCAGCUUGCUUAGUUCAAAUUAAGACUAAUUUAUUCCACGUGAAUAGCGAGGGGAUUUCGAGGUAAGAAGUACUUGUGUUUCCCAAUAGCCUGCUGGAAUAGGCUACUGAGGAUGGGUCAUAAUUUCAAUCUCUGAAUUAAUAAUAUGUUGCUACCAUGUUAUUGUGUUGCUACCAUGCUGGGUUGUCAUGUGUUGCUGCCUUGCAAUGUUGUUGUCUUAGGUCUCUCUUUAUGGAGUGUUGUCUCUCUUGUGUGUGCCCCGCAGGAGGCCAUUUGCCUUUUGGUAGGCCGUCAUUGUAAAUAAGAAUUUGUUCUUAUCUGACUUGCCAGGUUAAGUAAAUAUGAAGUGAAUAUUACUUUUAUUUAUUUUUCUCCCUGUAGCCUAAUCUGACUACUGUUACCAUCAAUCUAAUGUGUUCUAGCAACUGAUCGGCAGUUGCGAUAGAACUUUGAUAACUUGCAUAGUAACAUAUGGCUACAACAACAAUAAACUGAAGUUAUAGGCUACUUAUUAAAUUGAUUUUCCAGCUCCUAUAGGCUACACAAGUGGCACAAAUGUAUUUGCAAUGAAGCCAUUGAUAUCAUCAUUUCAACAUAUUUAUUGUAUCAAAUGGUAGCCUACAAUGGCAUAUAAAUUAGUUUACUUGAUGGCCAACAAAGGCAAAUGUAUCAUUUUCCACAUUUUAAUGUCAGUUUCAUUGAGGACUUAACAAAUAAAAAGAACCACACAAGGGAGUCUCAACUUCCAUUUCAGAUUUCCACUCGUGCAGCCCCCAAGAACUAAGCAUGCAUAAAACAUUUAGCUCUUUAAUUGUUCCUUUUUAUUUCUUAUUAUUUGUAUUUUUAAACGGCAUUGUUGGUUAGGGCCUUGUAAGCAAGCAUUUCAUUCGGCGCAUGUGACUAAUAAAAUUUGAUUUAUACCCUUUUCUAGUAAUGUCAACAUUCAACUGCAGUUUUAACCACCUCCAAGCGAAUGUACAUAAUGCGCUCUAGUGCGCCCAAAGUCGUUUUCCAGUGCUUUGUCUGCACUAUUUCUUGAUGUGCAUCAGUUCUAGCGUAUUAAUAUGUUUUACGGAAAAAUGGUUGAAAAUAGAUGUGCAUUCUAGACACGCAUUCUCCUCAUACUCACGUGACUCAGCCAAUAGCUGUAGUUCUCUCUCAACAGACACACACCCCUCCGGCCCUCCCCAUCACUCACUCACACCUGACAGUAAACUGCAGGUCACAGUGAAAUAUACAUUUAAAAAACGCCAUGGCAGCUGCGGUGCAACUUAGCCCAAAAACCAGCAACCCGCAACCAAUACAUUUUCACCCAUGACAUCCUUUUUAAAGUACCAAUUAGCGGGAAAACCAAGAAUAUGGCACCACUUUUCUCUGCUGUGGUUCUCUCUCCUCUUUUUGAAAAAGGUCAACGGUAACUACAUCAACUAAAAUUGUGGCUCUUGUUUUAGCUCUUUAAAAGUAUUUUUGUGGUAAUGGAAAAAGUGUUCUGAUUUUUGAUUUGAAAAUCAAGAUUCCAUGCGCUCUUAGUUGGUCUAAAUUCAGAAAGUGGCCUACUUUGUCUGUCCAUAUAAUUAUUCCAUUGCUGACGAAGUCUGUCAUAAUCUCGUGAUCCAAGGCCAUGCUUGCUAUUAUUAUUUAUUCUCAACCAGGCGUGUUUACUAAUCAACAGAUCAUUAGAACAUAAAAUUACAAAUGUAAUUACCUUCAUCUAAAUAUGUGUCUGGAUAAAUGCGGUUAGAAUUAAACUACCUUCAUCUAAAUCGGUGUCUGGAAUAAAAUCAGGCAGAAGUAGCCAGCCAUGCAUUAGGCUGUUUUGUUCAGUGGCGACUCAUCAUUCAGGGCAGGUGGGGCAGAACCACACCAGUUUUGAGUCCCACCUGUUUAGCUAAAAAAAAAAGAAAUAUCAAUACACACACACACACACUGCCUUCGGAAAGUUUUCAGAACCCUUGAAUUUUUCUAUAUUAUGUUACGUUAGACUUUUUCUAAAAUUGAUUAAAUAAAUGUUUUUCCUCAGCAAUCUACACACAAUACCCAAUAAUGACA